GCGCCGACGAGGGCGAGGGCGGCGUCGUCGUCCUCGGAGGCGGCGAACAUCGUCGGUUCGAACCCGGCGGCGGCGCAC
rnacentral:tRNA from 2 species